GUGCUGGCACUUCAGAAUGACAAGGUUUAUUUAUUUUAUUUUAUUCUUUUAAUUCUUAAAUUUGUCAAUUCAGUUUGAGUCAUUGUCACAUUAAUAAUUUCUUAGCGAUCAGGCUAGCAAAUCUGCUAUAAACAUCCCAAUUCUACAAAUAUUUUACUCGCAUUUUUUUUUUUUUAAAGAAAUCUAUUUGCUACAAUGUGUGACAAUGAUGUAAUCACAGUUCCAAAAGUUCACUUUAGGACAAUGUGUAUGAAGCGCCAUUAUAGUUACACCCAAUAGACAAACACUUAAGCUCGGAUCAUUUUGUUUGAGAAAGACGUGUGCUCUAUAUCAUGGGUUGAGUUUACACAAACAUAUUUAGCACAAUAUAUAUAUAUUUA